ACGGGUGAGUAACACGUGGGAACGUACCCUUCGGUUCGGAAUAACGCUGGGAAACUAGCGCUAAUACCGGAUACGCCCUUAUGGGGAAAGGUUUACUGCCGAAGGAUCGGCCCGCGUCUGAUUAGCUAGUUGGUGGGGUAACGGCCUACCAAGGCGACGAUCAGUAGCUGGUCUGAGAGGAUGAUCAGCCACACUGGGACUGAGACACGACCCAGACUACUACGGGAGGCAGCAGUGGGGAAUAUUGGACAAUGGGCGCAAGCCUGAUCCAGCCAUGCCGCGUGAGUGAUGAAGGCCUUAGGGUUGUAAAGCUCUUUUGUCCGGGACGAUAAUGACGGUACCGGAAGAAUAAGCCCCGGCUAACUUCGUGCCAGCAGCCGCGGUAAUACGAAGGGGGCUAGCGUUGCUCGGAAUCACUGGGCGUAAAGGGCGCGUAGGCGGCCAUUCAAGUCGGGGGUGAAAGCCUGUGGCUCAACCACAGAAUUGCCUUCGAUACUGUUUGGCUUGAGUAUGGCAGAGGUCAGUGGAACUGCGAGUGUAGAGGUGAAAUUCGUAGA
rnacentral:rRNA from 1 species